AUCACUUCUCAGCCUUUUGGCUAAGAUCAAGUGUAGUAUCUGAAUUCUUUUGGCCUGUUUUAUACACAAAUUCUAAAAGACUUCAAACUGUUAGGCAUAACAUUUCCUUUAAAAUUGACUCCAUGGCUGGGUGUGGUGAUACAUGCCUGUAAUCCUAGCACUCAGGAGGCUGAGGCAGGAAGAUC
rnacentral:snRNA from 1 species